ACAAUGUCCACUUCAACAAAGUAGUGAGAUCCGAAUGUGUAUGCUCUCACAGUGUCAAUGUGCCGCACCGCCUUGUGGUGGUUCCAGCAUAGGUAUGUCAGCUUCUGCAAGAACUCAGGUGCUGCUGCUCGGCCAACGAGUGAAUUCACAUUUUCGAGUACUGUCAUCGACCAUGUACGAAUCGUGUAGAUAGCCAGAAUGAUGGCUCCGACAGGGUCGAUCCAGUAUACGACAUAAUUGGCGAGAACUGCGGCUAUUAGGCCGAUCAUAUUGGUGAUGACAUCGAAA
rnacentral:misc_RNA from 1 species